AUGACGUGUUGGCUAUACUGGAGUCACUGCAGGUUUUAUCCCAACUCUAGUGUUGCCAGACAUCUCUUUUCCAGGUCUUUUCAGCGACAAGGGCACACAUUGACCUCAGCAGCAUGGAAAACACAUGAAGACAACUCUUUUUUAGCAAGCGUCUUGUCCGGUGUUACAACAGGACUGGUUUCACAGCUCAAACCGAUUGCCGUUUUGAGGAUGAAGGAGCAAACCCAGCCCCCAAGGACUUGGCUGGCAUUACACAACCAGCCGACGAUGGAGCAAACGGCUCAGGUGCCCCAAUUCCCACUUUGAUGCUGCCUGCCCUCAACAGCACCAAUUGUACCAUGAUUCAAAGAAGAGCAAGUUCCAUCAAAACCCAAGAAAAUCCCGACUUGCUUCAUUUUCAACACUGUUUGUAUGUCUCUGGCCAUGCAGGGCACCAGAUUGUGCUUGGUUGACUGUUGUUGUUGCUGUUCACGUAACACCUUCCUUAAAGCUUUCCGAGAGGUUUUUGGCCUGCUGUCACCUCCUGGGAAAUUCUGGUAAGUAUCCCAUGCACGCAGGACUGCAUGUUUGUGCCACACGUCAAUCUCCUUCUGGUUUUCUCUUCUACUGUGUUUUAUGUCAGGGACACCCUCAAGGAAACAAGAUCCUGGCUGUUCUUGCUGCUUCUCCCCCAUGUUCCAGGUCUGAUGCCAUCACCACAGCAACCUAGCAUGGAGUCACUUAUGGCUGAAUGAAGAGCUGGUGCCGCCCAGAGCCGGAAAAAAACAACAGAAAAUGCCGGUUUGGGUGCAUGCUUGGAACUCCAACCCAGCAGAGAGUAAACAUGGACACCUGGAGCAGAACACUGCCUUACUUGAAUGCUGUACUUGAAUGGGGGUAGGUAGGCUUUUCACAUUUCCAGUGCACUAACAGCAGAAGGACUCAGUUCCCUCUAAAUGGUAUUGAGUUAUAAAAAAAAGCCAUGAUCCCCAUCUAAGAGAAUCUGUAAUGUACCUUAUUUUGUGCAUGUACUCAUUCUUGUGCCCUAUAUGAGAAUACAACUGUUAGCACCAGUGGAAAGAUAAAUGCUGCCCUGCUCAGUAGACAAUGAUAAGAGCUGGGUGAGCAUCUCAUUGAUGCAGCUCAUAGAAUCAUUAGGUUGGAAGGGACCUCUGGAGGACACCUGGUCCAACCUCCUGCUCAAAGCAGGCCAAGUUGGAUAAGGUUGUUAAGGGUCUCCUUGAGUUCUGAGAAUUCCCAAGGGUGCCAAUUUCUCUAUGCAGUAUUUGCAGAUUCCCAUUUACAAAUGAUCCACAUUUGCCACGAAGGCCAGAUUCCACAAGUUCAUUCAUUUAUAUCUUAAAUAAGUGGGUUGUGUGGGUGUCCAUCAGUUCAUGGACUGCCCACAAAAUUCUCUCCUACUCCCCCUCCUGCAAAAGAAAAGAAGAAAUUGUACAGACAUUUGCAAGAGGAGCUUGGAAAGGAGUAGAGGCAAGGAAACCUGGAAGGGGCAAGAGCUGCAAACAGCAAAAGCAAAAUUGUGUUUGUGAGCAGGUCUAACAGCUUCUGCCCAGCUCUGAUCAUAAUGUCUACUUACAUGGUGUUACUAAGUCUCAAUCUGUGCUUUCUCUAGCUCGGUACCAGCAGUGGGUAAGGGGCACCCAGGGGCAUAUGGCAUUCUGCACUCCAGCCCUCCCUGCCUUUGGCAUGGGAGUGCAGUGGCUUUGAAAAUUACAGCCCUGUAACUUAAACCAAACUGCCUGUCACUCAAGCCAGAAUCAGCUGGGGUGGUUUUGGUUCUUAGUCAGUAGGCUCUAGCAGUCAGUAGUCUCUGUUGUCUGCAUUUCCAACUGAAAAGCGUGCAGCUCUAGCCAGCUCUGGUGUAGACGAUCACUUGGUAACUCACAGGCUUCAAGCAGACUUCUGCAGACCUCUGAGAAAAUAUUUGUGCUUGUGGGGCGGAGGACAAAAAAAACUGGCUUCCCCUCUGUAAAUAUGACUGGGGUCAGUCCUUAAAACACGCCCAGAACAAAAUCGUAUUUUAAACAGUAUGUGAAAUAGCUGCCACAUUUUUGUGCGGUACCUUGCUCCCCCCAAAUAAAAAAUUAGGAUGGUUGUUGGUUGUUCUUGAUUUUUAAGUGUUAACGUGGAGGAGCUUUCUGAUGCUUUAUGAUGGGCGACCA
ensembl:lncRNA